ensembl:rRNA 5S_rRNA 5S ribosomal RNA
GCUUACGGCCAUAUCACCCUGAGCGCGCCUGAUCUCGUCUGCUCUCGGAAGUUAAGCAGGGUUGGGCUUGGUUAGUACUUGAAUAGGAGACCGCCUGGGAAUACCAGGUGCUGUAAGCU